AUGGAUCCAUGGAGCGCUCAUGGAGGCUUCAAUAGUUCAAUACAAUCAAGCGCCGGAAACGGCCGCCGCCGGCGGAUCGACGGCGUCGACCUUGACCUUGAGGAAGUCGAUGGUGCGUUCCCCGAGCGCGAACGCGUCCCAGAAGCCGUCGGCGAAGACCUUGGCCUGGAGCUUCUUGUACAUCGCCGGCCGCUCCCCGUCGACCAGCUCGGGCGACGGCUCGAGCACCUUGUCCGGCUCCGGCUGGUAGAACACCGCCAGCGACACCCGCUCCGCCUCCUCCCCCGGCGCCACCACCCGGUGUACCGGCGCCCUGAACGCCGCGUUGCUCAUGAUCUCCAUCUCGUCGCCGACCACGACCAGCAGCUGGUGUCGGCCGUCGCCCAGCACCGGCACGUCGACCCAGCUGCCAUCUUUCAGAACCUGGAGGCCGCCGACUUGCUCGUCGAGGAGGAGCACGGUGACCACGGAGUUGUCGGUGUGGGGCUUGAGCCCGUGCACGAGGUCCGGGCGCGGGCAGGGCGGGUAGUAGGUGAACCGCGCGUACGACGGCAUCCGCUCGCCGACCUUGUCCACGAAGAACCCAUCCUCGAAGCUCAGGCACCUCGCCAUGGCCGUGACGACGAGCUUGGCCACCUUCUCGCCCUCCACGCUGAACUCUUUGAGGAGCUCGGCGAGGUCCGGCGGGUGGGUCGGCCAGAAGCGGAGCUGCCGCGCGUCGUCCGGCCGGACCUGGAGGUAGAGCCGGUCGCACCAGUCGAGGAUCUGCUCGUCGGUGUCGACGCGGUCGACGCCGUAGCCCUCGGGCUGGAACUUGCGGCCGCCGUCGUCGGCGUCGACCACGUUGCUGUACUCCUGCUUCGCCUCCGUCGGCAGGUGGAAGAACCCUCGCGCCGCGCCGAGGAUCGCGUCGAGGAACGGGUCCGUCAUGCCGUGGCCGGUCACCGCGAAGAGGCCCCAGGAGCCGAGCGCCGACCGGAGCUUGUCGGCCUCGCCGGGGUCAGCGUCGGCAAGGCGGCUCACGUCCACGGUGGGGAUGGAUGGAGCGGCACGCUGUGCGGCGGCGGCCGUGGCGGCGGCGGGGCGGCCCUGCUGCUCCUUGAGCACGUAGCGGCUCGGCAGCUCCCCGUCGGCGGCCACCUCCUGCACGAGCAGGCCCUGAGCUUGAUGCACCAUGGUGGUACGUGGUAG
rnacentral:rRNA from 1 species